UCUUGGAUAUAAAUUUGAUAAUAGCUUACCAGAGUACUAUGAACCAUACAAAGUUUAAAACUCAAAGGGCUUGGCGGUGUUUUAGACCUUUCAGGGGAACCUGUCUCAUAAUCGACAAUCCACGUUAGACCUAACCUUCCUUUUGUAUUUCAGUUUGUAUACCGUCGUCGUCAGGUAACUUCCAAAAAUCUAGAAGUUAGCAAUAUAAAUAAUUUUAAAUUAACACGUCAGAUCAAGGUGCAGCUAACAAGAAGGUGAAGAUGGGUUACAAUUAUUCACUUAUAACAACGAAUAAAUAAAUGAAAAUAGUUCCACGAAGGAGGACUUGAAAGUAAAAUAAACUAUAAAAACAGUUUGAAUAAGGCUCUGAAACGUGC
rnacentral:rRNA from 1 species